CAAUAGCGUAUAUUAUUGAUGUUGCAGUUGAAACGUUCGUAGUCGAACUUUGCUUGCUAAUGCUUUAUUGCAUCUAUGGUGCAAUAGAGUCCUCAGCAGGAAUCAUGCAAGUGUGCUUUGCGUUUCGCAUUGCAUUUAUUUGCAUCAUACUUUGAGUGAAUCGGCGUGUUCCACGCAGGCAUGUGCCUUGAACGAUUUACCAUAGCAUACAUAUAUUUUGAAACUGCUUCUUUGCUUGUUCAGAAGUAUUUUCAAUACGCAAGAGAACGGUCGAGGGCAUUCGUAUUCAACUGCUAGAGGUGAAAUUCUUUGAUUAGUUGAGGACGAACAAUUGCGAAAGCAUCUGCCAAGGACGUUUCUUUUGA
rnacentral:rRNA from 1 species